rnacentral:lncRNA from 1 species
GAGGGAGUCCGGUGAUCCCUGGAGUGGAACGCGCGGCCGUGGGAGGUUCCCGCGAGGUGGCCGGGAAUGGCCGCCACGUGGGCCCGGGGGAACCGCAGCGGCCGGUGCAGGCGACAGCUAGGCGGGAGCGGCUAGCCGAGUGCUUAGGGGAGAAGGGGAGUGACGGCACCCGCGGUUAGGGGAGAGCAACAGAGAACUGAGCGCCAAAAGCUGGGGGCGCGGCGGGGCCCCAGAAGGCGACGGCCAGGCUGGCUGUGAACACAGCCCUGGGCUCUGAAACGCGACCGGGAAAGGGCCAACUACGCGUAGAGAGAGGGGAAGGAACCAUCCGACUGGAGCGCGGGAAGAGCUCGGGCCUGGGGGUGGUGCCACCGUGCUUGGCGCGUUCCUGUAUCCUGGUUGCGCGUAGGUCUCCAUCAGUUGGCCAAUUUGUAUUCGACUGUCUGAGCAUCUGUCAGUCUACCUCUGUGUAUCUGAUCUUGGUCUCUGUGUGCUAGUUUUGAAUUUCUGUAUCUGUCUGCAUACCUGGUCCCUGUAUGAGUACCACUGGGUCUGUCCCCCGAGACUGCGUUGCGGCCUUUCAGGGGAAGGAUCUUAAACACUGCAACCGCAGCGCGCGCCAGAAUAGACUCCCCACAAACCCUAGGACCGCUGUUGGCGCCAAAAUCCAGACUCAAAGCGCCAGUCGCUCCACGCGGUUCCCUCAGCCUGGGAGGCUUGCUCUAGCUGGCAGUGUGGGAGAAAUGAAUGGCAGCGUCGCGGCGGGCGCCCUGGAUGCGGAUGACGCAGGGAAGCCCGGAGUGCCUGAGCAAGAGGCGCGCGCUAAUAAGCAUCAGCAGGGACAGGGUGUCCCCCGCCCUUGUUGCUGGGGCCUGGGGUAGAGUUCUCUCCCUCCCCUGAAAAGAACACGCACACUUCCUUUCACCUCUUGCGCCCCCCGCCCCCCCACAAACCCCGCCCCUGCCCUGCUAGCAGUCAGCUGCAGCGUCACCCGCUCUCUGGCGCGAGAGGGCUCUGGCGCAAUCACUGGCCUUGGGAGGGAGGGUGUGUCUCACAUUCACUCACAGUGACGGGCUGGUAAAGACAAUAAUGACGCUAUUGCUUUUGCCCAUGCUCCAAGCAAGACACCUUCCCUUUAGUCCCGCCAAAUCACGCUAGUGAGAUUGCUGGGUUGCUGAUUUUUCUCCCUUCGGGUGUUUAAUGCAAAGGUCUCUGCUGUCAGGACUCUGAACAGGGCCUGUGGGAUAGGGAAGAGGAGUGAUUGAGAUUACCUCUGGGGUGUAGCCUAACAGGGGUUCCUUCUAACACUCCUGUACGCCAUCUUUUUGGCUGGGAGGAAUGGUCCCCAACUGAGCCCUGGGGUGAGAAAGACUGACCCUGACAUCUGAAAGGAAGGACAGAAUAACUCUGGGUGAUCAGAUUGUCCAAAACACCUCCUUCCCCUGGAAGUUGCACAGCUAUGACUUUCAAUCCAGAAUCUGCCAUUUUCUGAAUGACCUUGAAUUGAAGGCCCAAUAAUCGUGUUUUUAAAAAUCAUUUGUGUUGGUCCUGGUGGAGUUGGCCAUUCAUCUCUGUGAUCAGUCAGGCUGAUCUCUGUGAGUCUGAGGCCAGCUGCAUCUACACAGUAAGUUCAGGGCUACAUAAUGAGACCUUGUCCAAAAACAAACAAAAAUCAUUGCUACUUAUAUAACUUUAGAAAAAUAAAGCCACCAAAAUCUUAGCAGUAUACUCUUCAUCUUCCC